GCCAGGGUGGUGGAAUGGUAGACACCGGGGACUUAAAAUCCCCUCUCCGUAUAGGGGGUACGGGUUCAACUCCCGUUCCUGGCA
rnacentral:tRNA from 1 species